AGUGAACGCUGGCGGUAGGCCUAACACAUGCCAGUCGAACGGCAGCACAGUAAGAGCUUGCUCUUACGGGUGGCGAGUGGCGGACGGGUGAGGAAUACAUCGGAAUCUACUUUUUCGUGGGGGAUAACGUAGGGAAACUUACGCUAAUACCGCAUACGACCUACGGGUGAAAGCAGGGGAUCUUCGGACCUUGCGCGAUUGAAUGAGCCGAUGUCGGAUUAGCUAGUUGGCGGGGUAAAGGCCCACCAAGGCGACGAUCCGUAGCUGGUCUGAGAGGAUAAUCAGCCACACUGGAACUGAGACACGGUCCAGACUCCUACGGGAGGCAGCAGUGGGGAAUAUUGGACAAUGGGCGCAAGCCUGAUCCAGCCAUACCGCGUGGGUGAAGAAGGCCUUCGGGUUGUAAAGCCCUUUUGUUGGGAAAGAAAGGCAGCAGGUUAAUACCCCGCUGUUCUGACGGUACCCAAAGAAUAAGCACCGGCUAACUUCGUG
rnacentral:rRNA from 1 species